CCUACGGGUGGCUGCAGUGGGGGAUAUUGCACAAUGGGGGCAACCCUGAUGCAGCGACGCCGCGUGGGUGAAGGAGCGCUUCGGCUCGUAAAGCCCUAUCGGCGGGGAAGAAGAUGGACGGUACCUGACUAAUAAGCCCCGGCUAACUACGUGCCAGCAGCCGCGGUAAUACGUAGGGGGCAAGCGUUAUCCGGAUUUACUGGGUGGAAAGGGGGCGCAGACGGGAGAGCAAGCCAGAAGUGAAAGCCCGGGGCUCAACCCCGGAACUGCAUUUGGAACUGCGCGGCUGGAGUGCUGGAGGGGCAGGCAGAAUUCCUGGUGUAGCGGUGAAAUGCGUAGAUAUCGGGAGGAACACCGGUGGCGAAGGCGGCCUGCUGGACUACGACUGACGUUGAGGCCCGAAAGCGUGGGGAGCAAACAGGAUUAGAUACCCGAGUAGUC
rnacentral:rRNA from 1 species